rnacentral:rRNA from 1 species
GACGAACGCUGGCGGCGCGCUUAACACAUGCAAGUCGAGCGAGAACCAGGCUUUCGGGCCUGGGGAAAGCGGCGAACGGGUGAGAAACACGUGGGUAAUCUGCCCUCGGCACCGGAAUAGCCCGGGGAAACCCGGAUUAAUGCCGGAUAGCCUCUCGAGCCCUCGGGCUCGUGAGAAAAGGUAGCUUCGGCCUCUGGCCGAGGAGGAGCCCGCGGCGGAUUAGCUUGUGGGUGGGGUAACGGCUCACCAAGGUGACGAUCCGUAGCUGGUCUGAGGGGACGAUCAGCCACACUGGGACUGAGACACGGCCCAGACUCCUACGGGAGGCAGGAGUGGGGAAUCUUGCGCAAUGGGCGAAAGCCUGACGCAGCGACGCCGCGUGCGGGAAGAAGGCCUUCGGGCUGUAAACCGCUUUCAGGAGGGACGAAGCCACUCGGGUUAAUAGCCCAGAGGGUGACGGUACCUCCAGAAGAAGCCCCGGCUAACUACGUGCCAGCCGCCGCGGUAAUAC